rnacentral:rRNA from 1 species
CCUACGGGUGGCUGCAGUGGGGAAUUUUGGACAAUGGGCGCAAGCCUGAUCCAGCCAUGCCGCGUGAGUGAAGAAGGCCUUCGGGUUGUAAAGCUCUUUCGGCGGGGAAGAAAUUGCACUGGCUAAUACCUGGUGUAGAUGACGGUACCCGCCUAAGAAGCACCGGCUAACUACGUUCCAGCAGCCGCGGUAAUACGUAGGGUGCGAGCGUUAAUCGGAAUUACGGGGCGUAUAGCGUACGCAGGAGGUUAAAUCCCCGGGCUCAACCUGGGAACUGCAGUUGAGACGGCACGGCUAGAGGAUGGCAGAGGGGGGUAGAAUUCCACGUGUAGCAGUGAAAUGCGUAGAGAUGUGGAGGAAUACCGAUGGCGAAGGCAGCCCCCUGGGCUAUUUCUGACACUCAUGCACGAAAGCGUGGGGAGCAAACAGGAUUAGAUACCCGGGUAGUC